AUUGAACGCUGGCGGCAGGCCUAACACAUGCAAGUCGAGCGGAGCGGCGGACGGGUGAGUAAUGCCUAGGAAUCUGCCUGGUCGUGGUGGAUAACGUCCGGAACCGGGCGCUAAUACCGCAUACUAUCAGAUGAGCCUAGGUCGGAUUAGCUAGUUGGUGGGGUAAAGGCAUACAAAGGCGACGAUCCUUAACUGGUCUGAGAGGAUGAUCAGUCACACUGGAACUGAGACACGGUCCAGACUCCUACGGGAGGAAGCAGUGGGGAAUAUUGGACAAUGGGGGAAAGCCUGAUGCAGCCAUGCCGCGUGUGUGAAGAAGGCCUUCGGAUUGUAAAGCACUUUAAGUUGGGAGGCGUUACCAGCAGAAUAAGCACCGGCUAACUUCGUGCCAGCAGCCGCGGUAAUUC
rnacentral:rRNA from 1 species